rnacentral:lncRNA from 1 species
GAUUGGUAUAUCGUCACACUUCUCAAAAAUUCACCCCAUGGCAAUAAAAUCCCACCACCACCACCUAAAUCCCAUCUUCCUGUUCCUCCACCUAAACCACAAGAGAGCUGGUGCCUCAGAAGUUGCCACAAGAAAUGCUACAAUCUGAAGUGGGCUGUUAGAAAGGUUUGCUUUCAUGCCUGCCCUUCUAAAUGCCUGCAGAUUCGUGUAAGGCUCAGAAAAAUCCCUCAAACGCCUCAAAGACUGUCGACUUUCCUGUGUAAAUGUCAUUCCCACACCCGCCGAUUAUGCACCUGCUUUUGGUACUAACACAUUAAUUCAAUUGACUUCUUUCUCUCUUGGCUUUGAUCAAUUUAUUUGUUAACCCUUUUUUCUUGGAUUUUGUUAUUUGCUUUGAAUUAUUCAUCCAAUUUAUUUAUCCUUUUUUUUUUUUUUGGUGUCAUUUGCUGAAAUAAACAUGAGGGGCCAAUUGAAUUCAUGCUACAAGACUUGCAGCUCAAGAAUAAAAAUCAAUAAUUAGAUAUUUUAACAUUGAUGGGAUGGAAUAGUUGUACUCUACUCACGGAGGCUAUUUGUCCAACCAUUAAUUGAAAUUUUCUUUUUCAUUUCUGUUCUUUAUAAUUAUUUGUUUUUGUGUACAUCCUAGCUCUAGUAAGGUAUAAUUAAUAUUACCACUAUACCUAAAGUCUGCUGUUAAUUGUUUCCUUUUGUGCACAUUAGCACCAAAACGGAAGUUUAGGUGGCAAAUACACAUACCCCCUAUAUAUUAAUGCGAUAAUUAUUCAUCAAUUUCAUUUCGGCCAAAAAUAUUUUUGUUUACAAUGUCUUGUAGUUCAAUUGGUUAAGAGCAUUCACACUCGUACUUAAAGCCUCGAAUUCAAUUUUCACUUCUCUAAUAUUGCUUACAUUAAAAAGAAUACUACCUAAACUUAUAUAAUUAAGCAGCAAAAGAAAAUUUGUGCACAAGCACGGAUCAUAUAAGAAGCAGCAAAAGAUUUUACUGAAAAUAUGAUUUUAGCCCUUGAAACUCAAGUUU